rnacentral:rRNA from 1 species
CCUACGGGAGGCAGCAGUCGGGAAUAUUGCGCAAUGGAGGAAACUCUGACGCAGUGACGCCGCGUAUAGGAAGAAGGUUUUCGGAUUGUAAACUAUUGUCCACAGGGAAGAAAAAAGACUGUACCUGUGAAGAAAGCUCCGGCUAACUACGUGCCAGCAGCCGCGGUAAUACGUAGGGGGCAAGCGUUAUCCGGAUUUACUGGGUGUAAAGGGGGCGCAGACGGCAGCGCAAGCCAGGAGUGAAAGCCCGGGGCCCAACCCCGGGACUGCUCUUGGAACUGCGCGGCUGGAGUGCCGGAGGGGCG